AGCCACUCUCCAACUGCACCCAAGUGACAGCCCCCUAGACAACCACCUAGGAGAACCAGUUAACUCCUAGAACUGCGAGAGGUGAGGAAACUGAGCCUCAGAGAAUUUGUUUAACUUGCCUGAUUUCACACAGCUGUGCGUGAGAGGAGCGAAGAUUUGCACAUAGGAGGAUUAUGGGCUUCCCAGGCACAAAGUCCUGGUGACCUGCACCAUACACAGGACCCUGGAGCAGCUCAUCUUUGGCAGGCUGGUAGUGUGGCUCAGGCUAAGU